CAGUAGCCGCGGGAAUACGUAGGUGGCAAGCGUCGUCCGGAAUUAUUGGGCGUAAAGGGCUCGCAGGCGGUUUCUUAAGUCUGAUGUGAAAGCCCCCGGCUCAACCGGGGAGGGUCAUUGGAAACUGGGAAACUUGAGUGCAGAAGAGGAGAGUGGAAUUCCACGUGUAGCGGUGAAAUGCGUAGAGAUGUGGAGGAACACCAGUGGCGAAGGCGACUCUCUGGUCUGUAACUGACGCUGAGGAGCGAAAGCGUGGGGAGCGAACAGGAUUAGAUACCCCGUAGUCCCUGUCUCUUAUACA
rnacentral:rRNA from 1 species